GAGUUUGAUCAUGGCUCAGAACGAACGCUGGCGGCAUGCCUAACACAUGCAAGUCGAACGGGAUCCAGGCUUCGGCCUGGUGAGAGUGGCGGACGGGUGAGUAACGCGUGGGAACCUGCCCAAUGGUCUGGGAUAACCGCGGGAAACUGCGGCUAAUACCGGGUAAGCCCGAAAGGGGAAAGAUUUAUCGCCGAUGGAGGGGCCCGCGUCCGAUUAGGUAGUUGGUGGGGUAAUGGCCUACCAAGCCUACGAUCGGUAGCUGGUCUGAGAGGAUGAUCAGCCACACUGGGACUGAGAUACGGCCCAGACUCCUACGGGAGGCAGCAGUGGGGAAUAUUGGACAAUGGGGGCAACCCUGAUCCAGCAAUGCCGCGUGAGUGAUGAAGGCCUUAGGGUUGUAAAGCUCUUUUGGCGGGGACGAUGAUGACGGUACCCGCAGAAUAAGCCCCGGCUAACUUCGUGCCAGCAGCCGCCGUAAC
rnacentral:rRNA from 1 species